rnacentral:rRNA from 1 species
UACGAAGGGGGCUAGCGUUGUUCGGAAUUACUGGGCGUAAAGCGCACGUAGGCGGAUCAGUCAGUUAGGGGUGAAAUCCCAGGGCUCAACCCUGGAACUGCCUUUAAUACUGCUGGUCUGGAGGUCGAGAGAGGCGAGUGGAAUUCCGAGUGUAGAGGUGAAAUUCGUAGAUAUUCGGAGGAACACCAGUGGCGAAGGCGGCUCGCUGGCUCGAUACUGACGCUGAGGUGCGAAAGCGUGGGGAGCAAACAGG